GGCCGGGGCCGGGGCGGGAGGGGCGCGCAGCCUGUGGCGGAGCCGGGAGCGCACCGCCCUGUGGCCCCCGGCGCCCUCGGUCCCCGCCCCCAGUCGGCCUCCGCUCGGCUCCGCUAGGCCUCGCCGUCCCCCUCGUCCACCGUUCAGCUCGGCCGUAGGUCCCUGGAAGACGCUCCGGCUCCCAGGCCUGCAGGCCCGGAGUGGCCCUUUGCAGGGACGCCCUCCCACCUGGCCCUGGGAGGCUUGACUGCACCCCGGGGCGAUCCCCUCUGCUCUUCCCACUGCCCGGCUGACCUAAGGCGGCGCAGCCGGGCCUCAGACUGACCCCAAGCUCAGAACAGGUCUCAGCUCGCCCCUCUUGCUGGGCAAAUGGUUUACCCACAGAGGCCUGGGGGCAAGCCUUGAGGAGGCAUCUGGAGUAGGACGCCUGCUCCUGUAGUGCCUGGGGAAGGUACAAGAAGUCACAAUGAAAUGGAGCAGGACCCUCAGGCUGGGCAGAAAGGCGGCAACAGCCUUUGAUCCCUGAACCACCUGCCCCUGCACAGCCGGGCCUGCAGGCCCUGGAGGGGACACGUGCUAAACUGGACAUUUAAAACAGCACCAUACACAGUAGCCAGCUUGAUUUGCUCAUGCACCAGGACUCAUAGUCACACAUCUCAGGCUUUUCCAAAAUAGCCAGAUCCUGAAGCUAGUGUGCCAAGCAGAAGUGUCUGUGGAGUAAAAGAUCCAAAUGUGUGCAUGUAUUCCAGGUAUCUGUGCACUCAGAAACACCACUGGUCCAAAGGAUUUGUAACAAGUGCAAUCACACCAUAAGGGGACAGACAAUCUGUGUUAUUAAACUGCUACAAAGCCCGGUGUGGCAAUCGCUUUUAAAUUCCAGUACUCAGGAGGCAGAGGCAGGCAAAUCUCUAAGUUCAAGGCCAGCCCUAGUCUACAUAGCGAGUUCCAGGACAGCCAGGGCUUCGUAGGGAGACCCUGUCUCCAACAAAAACCUGCUAAAAGGCAAAAGGAAAACUAAUGUAUUUACAGAUUCAUCAUAACCCUAAUACGAAGAUCCAACAGAGAUUUCACCAAAAAGAACACAAGUACAGAGCACUGUCUAGAGAACUGAAUGUAUGUGCUUUGAUAAAAGGUGUCUGCUGUCUAAGGAGAUGAGAAGUACUGUGUGCCACCCAUCUGUCCACCUUUGGGAGACUCACAGUGGUUUGCAUACAUGUAUGUAUGGACACCACAUGUGUGCAGUGCCAAUGGAUGCCAGAAGAAGGCAUUGGAUGCCAUGGAAUUGGAGUUAAGGACACCAUGUGGGCGUUGGGAACCAAACCCUGGUCCUCGGUUAUUUACCCGAGUAGCUCUACACCUUCUGGAAGGAAUCUGAUUGCUCUCCACUUCUGCCAGUGUCCACUUGCCUUUCUGCUUCCCACCAUGUGCUGUGAUGGCAAGAGGCCCUCUGCAGAGCCAUGCUGCUGGACUUCCCCAAACCCAGAACCAUGAGAUCAACUCCAUUCCUUUCGAUGAUCUCACCUCAGGUUUUUUGUUACAAAAACAGACUAAUAUGAGUCCCCUAAGGACAAAGUCCCUCACACAGACACAAAGUUAUUCAAGUAAGAGGCCCACUCAACUUCCAACAGGACAGCAUAUGAAUAAAGAGAUGAACCAGUAAAUGAAGGCAUACUGGCUUUAGAUGUGACUUCCACACUGGAUGUGUUGAGAGGGAUCUGCCACCAAUCAGCUGCCUGAAUGUGGGGGACUGUACAGAGUUCUACAGUGGGCCAGGACAUAGAUUCAGUUUUCUGAGCAUAAAGCGUACUCAAGCACAACUCCAUGGAGCCACCCAAUCUAAACUCCUGUGUAUCUCUAGCUAGGACACACAAGCAUAUCUGUGUCUGUGGCCCAUGCAUGUGGGUGAUAUAAAAAUAAGUCAGUCUUUUUCUAUGAAAAGAAUAUUCUGUACAGUAUCAUUGUUCCUUUCAGCUCACAAAUACUAAUGUCUCUUUGUUAGUGACUGCCUAUCUGCUUAUGAGACACAGUGUGCUCAUUUGGUUUCCUUGCAAACAACUCAUGGUUGAUUUCUAAAUUAUCUUUAGAAUUUACCAGUCCAUGAAAUCCCAAAGUCUGGGAAUCAGGGCCUCCCUCAUUAAGAAUUCAUGGUUUUGA